UGCUUGAUAGAAACUGGGGCGGCAUGGCUCAGUGGGUAGAGUGGUCGUCCUGCAGCCGAAGAGUUGCCGGUUCGAGCCCGGCCCAGAGAGCUGAUGUCGAGGUGUCCCUGAGCAAGACACCGAACCCCAAAUUGCUCCUGAUGGGUAGUGGUUGAG